UGGGGAAUAUUGGACAAUGGGCGAAAGCCUGAUCCAGCCAUGCCGCGUGUGUGAAGAAGGUCUUCGGAUUGUAAAGCACUUUAAGUUGGGAGGAAGGGCAGUAAGCGAAUACCUUGCUGUUUUGACGUUACCGACAGAAUAAGCACCGGCUAACUCUGUGCCAGCAGCCGCGGUAAUACAGAGGGUGCAAGCGUUAAUCGGAAUUACUGGGCGUAAAGCGCGCGUAGGUGGUUCGUUAAGUUGAAUGUGAAAGCCCCGGGCUCAACCUGGGAAAGGAAUCCAAAGCGGGCGAGCUGGAGUAGGGCAGAGGGUGGUGGAAUGUCCUGUGUAGCGGUGAAAUGCGUAGAUAUAGGAAGGGACACCAGUCGCGAAGGCGACCAACUGGCCUCAUACUGACACUGAGGUGCGAAAGCGUGGGGAGCAAACAGG
rnacentral:rRNA from 1 species